GCAGUAGCCGCGGUAAUACGGAGGGUGCAAGCGUUAAUCGGAAUUACUGGGCGUAAAGCGCACGCAGGCGGUCUGACAAGUCAGAUGUGAAAUCCCCGGGCUUAACCUGGGAACUGCAUUUGAAACUGUCAGGCUGGAGUCUUGUAGAGGGGGGUGGAAUUCCAGGUGUAGCGGUGAAAUGCGUAGAGAUCUGGAGGAAUACCGGUGGCGAAGGCGGCCCCCUGGACAAAGACUGACGCUCAGGUGCGAAAGCGUGGGGAGCAAACAGGAUUAGAUACCCCCGUAGUUCCUGUCUCUUAUAC
rnacentral:rRNA from 1 species